rnacentral:rRNA from 1 species
AGUGAACGCUGGCGGUAUGCCUAACACAUGCAAGUCGAACGGCAGCACAGUAGGAGCUUGCUCUUACGGAGGGGGGGUGGCGGACGGAAUAGGAAGACAUCGGAAUCGACGUGGGGGUUAGGGAGAACGUAGGGGGACUUACACUGAUACCGCACAACACCUGCGAGUGAAAGCAGGUGAUGUUCCGACCUUUCGCGAUGGAAGAUGCCGAUGUCGGAUUAGCUAGUUGGUGGGGUAAAGGCCGACCAAGGCGACGAUCAGUAGCUGGUCUGAGAGGAUGAUCAGCCACACUGGAACUGAGACACGGUCCAGACUCCUACGGGAGGCAGCAGUGGGGAAUAUUGGACAAAGGGCGCAAGCCUGAUCCAGCAAUACCGCGUGUGUGAAGAAGGCCUUCGGGUUGUAAAGCACUUUUGUUGGGAAAGAAAAGCAGCAGGUUAAUACCCUGCUGUUCUGACGGUACCCAAAGAAUAAGCACCGGCUAACUUCGUG